rnacentral:rRNA from 1 species
UCGAGCGAGCGUAUUUGCGGAAGUUUUCGGAUGGAAGCGGAUGCCACUUAGCGGCGGACGGGUGAGUAACGCGUGGGUAACCUGCCUCAUACAGGGGGAUAACAGUUAGAAAUGACUGCUAAUACCGCAUAAGCGCACAGGACCGCAUGGUCUGGUGUGAAAAACUCCGGUGGUAUGAGAUGGACCCGCGUCUGAUUAGCUAGUUGGCGGGGUAACGGCCCACCAAGGCGACGAUCAGUAGCCGACCUGAGAGGGUGGCCGGCCACAUUGGGACUGAGACACGGCCCAAACUCCUACGGGAGGCAGCAGUGGGGAAUAUUGCACAAUGGGGGAAACCCUGAUGCAGCAACGCCGCGUGAGUGAAGAAGUAUUUCGGUAUGUAAAGCUCUAUCAGCAGGGAAGAAGAAAGACGGUACCUGACUAAGAAGCCCCGGCUAACUACGUGCCAGCAGCCGCGGUAAUACGUAGGGGGCAAGCGUUAUCCGGAUUUACUGGGUGUAAAGGGAGCGUAGACGGCAUAGCAAGUCUGAAGUGAAAGCCCGUGGCUCAACCGCGGAACUGCUUUGGAAACUGUUAAGCUGGAGUACUGGAGAGGCAAGCGGAAUUCCUAGUGUAGCGGUGAAAUGCGUAGAUAUUAGGAGGAACACCAGUGGCGAAGGCGGCUUGCUGGACAGAGACUGACGUUGAGGCUCGAAAGCGUGGGGAGCAAACAGGAUUAGAUACCCUGGUAGUCCACGCG